rnacentral:rRNA from 2 species
GUCGAACGAGUUCUGAUUUUGAAAGGUGCUUGCAUCUUGAUUUAAUUUUGAACGAGUGGCGGACGGGUGAGUAACACGUGGGUAACCUGCCCUUAAGUGGGGGAUAACAUUUGGAAACAGAUGCUAAUACCGCAUAAAUCCAAGAACCGCAUGGUUCUUGGCUGAAAGAUGGCGUAAGCUAUCGCUUUUGGAUGGACCCGCGGCGUAUUAGCUAGUUGGUGAGGUAACGGCUCACCAAGGCAAUGAUACCGUAGCCGAACUGAGAGGUUGAUCGGCCACAUUGGGACUGAGACACGGCCCAAACUCCUACGGGAGGCAGCAGUAGGGAAUCUUCCACAAUGGACGCAAGUCUGAUGGAGCAACGCCGCGUGAGUGAAAGAAGGCUUUCCGGGUCGUAAAACUCUGUUGUUGGAAAAAAAUGGUCCGCAAAAUUAACUGGUUGUCC